rnacentral:rRNA from 1 species
AUUGAACGCUGGCGGAAUGCUUUACACAUGCAAGUCGAACGGCAGCACGGGAGCUUGCUCCUGGUGGCGAGUGGCGAACGGGUGAGUAAUGCGUCGGAACGUGCCGAGUAAUGGGGGAGUAACGCAGCGAAAGUUGUGCUAAUACCGCAUACGCCCUGAGGGGGAAAGGUAGGGGGAGUCGCAAGACCUCACGUUAUUCGAGCGGCCGACGUCUGAUUAGCUAGUUGGUGGGGUAAAGGCCGUACCAAGGCGACGAUCAGUAGCGGGUCUGAGAGGAUGAUCAGCCACACUGGGACUGAGACACGG